UAUUCAUUUUCGUGCACUUGGAUAAAAUAAUUUCCUCAAAUAUGUCAAAAGUAACAACGGCAGAGCAAUACGAAAAAUUGUGUGAUAUGAUGGCCACGAAAAGAGAUAUUGCGCAGGGCUUCCAAAAGCGACCGAAGGAAUAAGUACAGGAGUUUUGGGAGGAGGUUGCAAGGAAUUUAAAUGCACUUGGCCCACCAACAAAAGAUUCCAAUACAUGGAGGUCUGGAUUGACUAAAAAUGCUACAUGAAGCGAAAAUUAUCGCAUAACAAAAAAGAAAGGAUGAGCACCGGUGGAGGUCCUUGCCGUUUACAACGCAUAAGCCCACUUGAUGAAAAGGUGAUAGCUUUGACGGGUUUGGAAUCGGAUGAUAUCCCUUCAACCAGUAGAGCUAGCAGCCAAAAUAGAGAGGCGAGAACAGACAAGCAGAGCACUUCUUCAUUACUUAAGCAACAGAUACAAAUCAAAAAGAAUUUUAUGCAGAGACGAAAAAAUUCAAUGAAGCUGCCUUUGGUAAAAUGGAAGAGGUUACUUCAUAUUUACGGCACAUGAAUCGUUCUCUAGAAACUUUGGCGGAGACUGCAGUGAAGCAACUUGAAGAACAGAAGCGACACAAUAGAAUUAAGGAAGAGCUGGUGAAGGAAAAAGUAGAAAUAAAAAUGCAAAUGCUAAGAUUAGAUCCAAAUUAUAAGCCGGAUUCAAAGUAGUCAUUUUUUAA